GGUUUCGUAGUGUAGCGGUUAUCACUGCGGAUUCUGAUGUCUUGACUCACCUUCCGCCAACCCCGGUUCGAUUCCGGGCGAGACCU